GACGAACGCUGGCGGCGUGCUUAACACAUGCAAGUCGAACGGAAAGGCCCUGCUUUUGUGGGGUGCUCGAGUGGCGAACGGGUGAGUAACACGUGAGUAACCUGCCCUUGACUGUGGGAUAACUUCAGGAAACUGGGGCUAAUACCGGAUAGGAGCUACUGCUGCACGGUGGGGGUUGGAAAGUUUCGGCGGUUGUGGAUGGACUCGCGGCUUAUCAGCUUGUUGGUGGAGUAGUGGCUUACCAAGGCUUUGACGGGUAGCCGGCCUGGGAGGGUGACCGGGCACAUUGGGACUACGAGACGGACCAGAAGGGUACGGGAGGCAGCAGUGGGGAAUAUUGCACAAUGGGCGGAAGCGUGAUGUAGCAACGCCGCGUGCGUGAUGACGGCCUUCGGGGUGUAAACCGAUUUCGCCUGUGAUGAAGCGUGAGUGACGGUAAUGGGUAAAGAAGCACCGGCUAACUACGUG
rnacentral:rRNA from 1 species